rnacentral:rRNA from 1 species
AAUAGCCUAACGGCUGAACCAGCGACUUGGAGGAAUGAAUAGCAAUAGCUAAUUGCGUCAAAAACAUGAUGCAAAAUCGAUUUCUUGAUUAAAAUUCUGGGUAGAAUUAUGAUUAUGACAUUGUCUACCCACACGUCUUGACCAAAUUGCGUGCCAGCAGUCGCGGUAAUACGUAGAAGACUAGUGUUAUUCAUCUUUAUUUGGUUUAAAGGGUACCUAGACGGUAAAUCAAGCCCUAGUCGGGACUAAUUUGCUAGAGUUACUUAUGAGGGGGUUUUAAAGUACUAAUGGUGUAGAGAUGAAAUUUUGUAAUACCAUUUUUCGAAAGAAAAGUUAUGGCACAGGUAUAUGCGAAAGCAUCCCCUUAUGUGAUAA